rnacentral:rRNA from 1 species
AUUGGGCCUAAGCAUCCGUAGCCGGUUCUGCAAGUCUUCCGUUAAAUCCACCUGCUUAACAGAUGGGCUGCGGAGGAUACUAUGGAGCUAGGAGGCGGGAGAGGCAAACGGUACUCAAUGGGUAGGGGUAAAAUCCGUUGAUCCAUUGAAGACCACCAGUGGCGAAGGCGGCUUGCCAGAACGCGCUCGACGGUGAGGGAUGAAAGCUGGGGGAGCAAACCGGAUUAGAUACCCCCCGUAGUCCAA